CUUCAUAUCCGGCCAUUGCACGUCUCCAUUGGCUCCGAUCUGCAAGCAGACAAUCAAUUCUAAUUUAUGAGACGAAGGAAAGCGAUAUUCCCAAUGAGUAACAUAGAUGGGAUCCUCAAAAGUAAACCAAGGCAAUGCCCCCAUGCAAAACAUUGUUGAAGACGGUCAAGCAUUCAGUGAAGGUUUUACACAAGAAGCAUAGUAUCACGCUAUGACAUCGAUUUCGCACUCACAA